ensembl:lncRNA LINC02207 long intergenic non-protein coding RNA 2207
ACCAUCAUGCUUUUUAGAGGCCUCUGCUCUGCCAGCCUGGGAGUCAUCUUCACCCUCAGGCUGGUAGACUCCAGUCUCUUAGGUCAGAAUGGGAUUAGAGACCCGUUCCUGAACCAGUCACACACAGCGGGUGAAACUGCUAUGAUUGGUUUAGACUUAGAGACUGGAAUGGAUGCUGAAAACAUCGCCCAUUUCAUCUGUUUCUUCAGUCCCCAGAUAGCAGAUGACUGGUAGGAAGAUGAGGCAAGUUUGCGGUCCAUUGUCAUGGAUAGUGGAGACAACACUGGGCCAGAAGUGGUAAGACCUGAAUCCAAGACUCAGCUCUGCCACUUGCUAAAUGGGACUUUGAAUAAACCAUUUCUCUGCACUUAAGUUCCUUACCAACAAAACGAGGGAAGUGGCCUACAUGCCUAGAUAUCAACAUUUCAUGUCACGUAGAGAUCUAGCAUCACAAGAAUCCAAGUCAUCCUCUGUUGCCUUUAAGAAAUUAGAAUUAAAGGAAUCAGAAUUGAAGUGAAUCUGACUACACUAAGCCUAUCACUUGUGACAGCCAUGGGAAGAUAUCAUUGGUUGCUGAGGAGCAGAAAUAAGCAGAGACCUAUUGUGUUAGGUUAUCAUUCAUUUCAGACAAAAAGCAGAUCAGCAAGUUUUCAUAUUGCACUAUUUUCAAUGGCUGGAGCAUCAACAUUUUACAACAAGAAAAAAAUUAAAAUUCUUCAACAUUUGGAAAAGAAGUGUUUGUAAAACUUUUCACAUCCAUUCACCAUCCGGAAAAGCAAGGUUUUACAGUGAGGCCUGAUGAUGUCUAGAGUCACCAUGCAUCUUGGAAAAUGACCUCCUAUUUAUUUCUUCUACAGGACACCAUGGUGUUCACCUUUCUACAACUUUACACUUGCUGAGGACAUAUUGUGGAAAAUUAAGAGAAAUAUAUAUGGAUGGCCAAGGCUGUAGAUGGAUGUCCAAGCCUUUUUACUGGGGAAUGUUUUCAGAACAAAAUGAGUUACAGGUUCAAGAGUGAAACCCAACAAAUCUUGGCUCUUUUUUUCUCUACUAAAUUCCAAAUCAAAAGUA